UAGAGUUUGAUCCUGGCUCAGGACGAACGCUGGCGGCGUGCCUAAUACAUGCAAGUAGAACGCUGAAGAGAGGAGCUUGCUCUUCUUGGAUGAGUUGCGAACGGGUGAGUAACGCGUAGGUAACCUGCCUUGUAGCGGGGGAUAACUAUUGGAAACGAUAGCUAAUACCGCAUAACAAUGGAUGACACAUGUCAUUUAUUUGAAAGGGGCAAUUGCUCCACUACAAGAUGGACCUGCGUUGUAUUAGCUAGUAGGUGAGGUAAUGGCUCACCUAGGCGACGAUACAUAGCCGACCUGAGAGGGUGAUCGGCCACACUGGGACUGAGACACGGCCCAGACUCCUACGGGAGGCAGCAGUAGGGAAUCUUCGGCAAUGGGGGCAACCCUGACCGAGCAACGCCGCGUGAGUGAAGAAGGUUUUCGGAUCGUAAAGCUCUGUUGUAAGUCAAGAACGGGUGUGAGAGUGGAAAGUUCACACUGUGACGGUAGCUUACCAGAAAGGGACGGCUAACUACGUGCCAGCAGCCGCGGUAAUACGUAGGUCCCGAGCGUUGUCCGGAUUUAUUGGGCGUAAAGCGAGCGCAGGCGGUUUGAUAAGUCUGAAGUUAAAGGCUGUGGCUCAACCAUAGUUCGCUUUGGAAACUGUCAAACUUGAGUGCAGAAGGGGAGAGUGGAAUUCCAUGUGUAGCGGUGAAAUGCGUAGAUAUAUGGAGGAACCACCCGGUGGCGAAAAGCGGCUCUCUGGUCUGUAANCUGACGCUGAGGCUCGAAAGCGUGGGGAGCGAACAGGAUUAGAUACCCUGGUAGUCCACGCCGUAAACGAUGAGUGCUAGGUGUUGGAUCCUUUCCGGGAUUCAGUGCCGAAGCUAACGCAUUAAGCACUCCGCCUGGGGAGUACGACCGCAAGGUUGAAACUCAAAGGAAUUGACGGGGGCCCGCACAAGCGGUGGAA
rnacentral:rRNA from 1 species